UGGCUUGUUUGAGCUUUUGUUUAACUUGUAACCAAAGACUUAAAGCUGGGUACAAAAAUAAAUCCUCUGCAAUACAGAACUCAUUGUUCAGCCUGAAUUUUGAUAUGCAUGAUAAAGAAUGUA
ensembl:snoRNA